rnacentral:rRNA from 1 species
GACGAACGCUGGCGGCGUGCUUAACACAUGCAAGUCGAACGGAAAGGCCCUGCUUUUGUGGGGUGCUCGAGUGGCGAACGGGUGAGUAACACGUGAAUAACCUGCCCUUGACUUUGGGAUAACUUCAGGAAACUGGGGCUAAUACCGGAUAGGAGCUCCUGCUGCAUGGUGGGGGUUGGAAAGUUUCGGCGGUUGGGGAUGGACUCGCGGCUUAUCAGCUUGUUGGUGGGGUAGUGGCUUACCAAGGCUUUGACGGGUAGCCGGCCUGAGAGGGUGACCGGCCACAUUGGGACUGAGAUACGGCCCAGACUCCUACGGGAGGCAGCAGUGGGGAAUAUUGCACAAUGGGCGGAAGCCUGAUGCAGCAACGCCGCGUGCGGGAUGACGGCCUUCGGGUUGUAAACCGCUUUCGCCUGUGACGAAGCGUGAGUGACGGUAAUGGGUAAAGAAGCACCGGCGAACUACGU